AAAUGUGUCGAGUCGUAUUUGUCGCAAAGUCGAGGUCGCGAUAAACAAAGAUGUUAAAUCAGUGUUUACCUUUAGCUAAAUAUAGUUCACGUGAAUUCAGGUCACUGAUUGGUCAUCUAUUUAAAGUCAGAAAACAUCGUAUUUGUGCAACGAUAACAAGAGAGAUGUUCCGAAGGUUAUAGACAAUAUGAAGCGAUGACAAACCCUGUUCAGUUUUGGCUUCAAGAAAUCGAAGAAAGU
rnacentral:lncRNA from 1 species